ACUGGAUUGACUGGCAGAAUUCAUCUUCCUCAUGAAGAAGCUGUGACAGGGUUCUCAUCUGGGCUCUGGAGGAGGCCUGGCGACCAGAUGUUCUGGUUCAAGGCCUACUGGAUGGACAGGGCCAGCCAAAGGGCCAGGAUGUCCCAGCAAGGCUUGGGAGAUGUGGGAUGGCCCUCUUCCCAUGCAGCCUCAAACCCUGGACCGGACCCACAGAUUCUGGAAUAUCUGUCAAGACCCUGCGAAGGCUCUGACCUCACAUAGGACAGCGCCUCCCUCACAAUACAGCAACGUCAGUAGAGGAUGGGUGCCAGAUGCCUGCAUCCUGAGAAGUGGGACUGAGAGCUGAGCUUCUAGCGUGAGAAUGCUGAACAAAGCCCGCCCUGGCUGGUCCUGUACUAUGGGCUGGGCUACUCACCUACCGUGCUCUGCAUCACCCAACCCGAUGGAGAGAAAGGUACCAUUAUCUGAGCGAGUUGCCAUUUUACUGGGCUGGAAACAGGCUGAGACUUGCCCAAGGACAUACAGCCUUGUGAGUGGAAAGACGGAAUGUGCACACUCUCAACCCUGAAGCUAUGCUGUCUCUAAAGGAGGGCAGGGUGGGUUUGCCUGUGUGUGAAGGACGGGUGCAUACUCUGCGAGGACCCCCUGGGACCUUUGGUCCUGGGCCCAUCUUCCCAGCCGGGAUUGAGAGUGCUUCUGGCGCAGAAGCCCAAUGGAAGAAGGUGGAUGCCAAGGGCUAGAGGAAUGAGGAGGGGAAUCAGUGUUUUGUGGGCAUAGAGUUUCAGUGUGGAAAGAUGAAAAAGCCCUAGAGAUCUAUUGCACAAUGAUGUGAAUAUACCGAACACUUCUGACCCGUACAAUUAAAAUGCUUAAUAUAGUCAA